CUACGGGCGGCUGCAGUAGGGAAUAUUGGACAAUGGGCGAAAGCCUGAUCCAGCAACGCCGCGUGCACGAUGACGGCCUUCGGGUUGUAAGGUGCUUUUAGAGGAGAUGAGAAAGGACAGUAUCCUCUGAAUAAGCCUCGGCGAACUACGUGCCAGCAGCCGCGGUAAAACGUAGGAGGCAAGCGUUAUCCGGAUUUAUUGGGCGUAAAGCGCGUGCAGGCGGUUUGACAAGUUGGAUGUGAAAGCUCCCGGCUUAACUGGGAGAGGUCGUUCAAAACUGUCAGACUAGAGAAUGGGAGAGGGAGGUGGAAUUCCGGGUGUAGUGGUGAAAUGCGUAGAUAUCCGGAGGAACACCAGUGGCGAAAGCGGCCUCCUAGACCAUUUCUGACGCUAAGACGCGAAAGCUAGGGUAGCAAACGGGAUUAGAUACCCUUGUAGUC
rnacentral:rRNA from 1 species